rnacentral:rRNA from 1 species
UACAGAGGUCCCAAGCGUUGUUCGGAUUCACUGGGCGUAAAGGGUGCGUAGUCGGUCCGCUAAGUUAGAUGUGAAAACUCUGGGCUCAACCCAGAGCCUGCAUCUAAUACUGACGGGCUAGAGUUCUGGAGGGGGUAGCGGAAUUCCUGGUGUAGCGGUGAAAUGCGUAGAUAUCAGGAGGAACACCUGCGGUGUAGACGGCUUUCUGGACCAUUGCUGACGCUGAGACACGAAAGCGUGGGUAGCAAACAGG